rnacentral:rRNA from 1 species
CGAAUCUUUGAACGCACAUUGCCGGUCGACUCUUCGGAGGAGACCACAUCUGCCUCAGCGUCGGGAUACCCCCUCACGCACAAUCGCGCGUGGAUCUGGCCCCCCCGGCCCCCCUCGCAGGGGACCGGGCCGGCUGAAAUGCAGAGGCCCGUGCGCGGCCCACUUGUGGCCCCGACUAGGUAGGUAGCUCGCUACUGCUAGGCGGCGGCUCGGUGCCGCGGACUCUGGGCCGCAAAGGAUACUCCCAUUCAUUCGACCUGAGUUCAGGUGAGGCUACCCGCUGAACUUAAGCAUAUCAAUAAGAA